AUGUCUCGAGGUCUGUUAAUUUUCUCUCUCCAAAGAUGAUUUCAUUGUAUAUGUUUUUAUUUUUCCUUCUCAAAAGUUUGUAUUCGAAGAAAAGCAUUAAUUUUUUUGUUCGAAAUAUAGAAAACUGUUGGUCGAUUUGAUAUUUGUUUGGAAAAUUUUGAUGUUUUAUUUUAUGCGUUGUUUUUGGCAGGAAAACCUUCUCUAGACGAACGUAAGUGUGAAAACAUUUUUUGGGUUUUUUCAACUUCUCUACAUAGAUAGCAUUUACUCUUAUGUUGUUACCUUAACCCUUCUCUUCUCUAUCUCCAUAGUUACUACAUGCGCUGCAAUUAUAUUCGGUAUGGCUUCUUUGAAGAGGUCUGUUUCGCAGAUAAGACCACGCAGGCAUCAUUGCGAUACUGUACAUCGACUCCAUUUCGAGGUACGAUUGAUAGUCAUUUGGAAGGGUUAUACUUAUAGUUUUAUUUAAACAAACUUUUUUUUUUUAAUCUCUUUGGAGAGCUUUUUAGUACUGUCUUUAAAAUUUUUUAUUAUGAUUAUCGUUUAAUUAUUUUUUCCAUGGUUUUCUUUGUUCUGUUUUUCAGUGCAUGAUUGGAGUCACUGAUAGCAAUAUCUGUGAUACCUAUUUCCAACUGAAUGAAGAGUGCCGUGAUUAUAAGAGCAGUUUGUAAAUCUGAUACUUUGUUUUGGUUCUUGAUAAUUUUCAGCAUAACUAGAACUUUUUUUUUUUUUUUUUUGUCUUCUCUUCAGAGUGCUGGUUGUUGCUUUUUAUUGCAGGGUGGAAGGAAUCUAUCCAGAAGGAAGCAACUGCUAAUGGUUUUGCCAGUGCUCAAGAGUACUUUAUGCAUAAAGAGUCCCAAGACACUAGGAAAUGCAGGUCGCGUUAUAGGGUAUACAAAGAGGUAAACUUUGUUUAUAUUAAAAACUUCUAAACAUUUUCUUUAUAUGAUAUAAUUACCCAUUUCUUGGCUUUUAUACACAAAGUAUGAGUUAUAAGGAAUAUAUUGUUUAUGGUAUGAAUCGUAAGGUUUUAAUUACUUCCUAUCCUAAUUUGAAUCCUUUUACAAAAUUUAUUUCCUUGUCUAUUGAGUUUUGUGAUAAAUUGUUGUAUCCUUUUCAAUCGUAUGAAUCAAGAAUCAAGUUUAUGGCAGCAUCAAUGUGGACGCCAAAUGAAUUAUAACAUUAAUCAUUCAUUUGUCUUAUUCACUUUAUUAUUAAUUGUAAUUUGUAAAUAACGACAAUGGUAUGGUAUGGAUAUUUAAUCAUGCAGCCUUCCAACUUGUAAAUGUUGAUAAUGUUGGAAUACUUUUGAUUGACAUUCAUCAAAAUUUAACUAUUUUUGUGCAUUGUUGUUUCGUGUUUGUCUAUACAGUAUAGAUUUGGCUAAAAUAUAAGGUUCUUAAGAGGACACGUUAUAGAAAUUGUUCCUUGUGCCUUGGAAAACUUGUGGAUUUAGGUUUUGAUAUUACAGAAGAAAAGAAUGAUUUUUUAUUAUUAUUGUUUAAUUUACGUAAAUUUUCUGACAUUCAAACCAAUAAUUUCGGAAUGAGGCAUGGUCCCCUGCCAAUUUCAAAAUAAAUUCAGGGUUAAAUGGUUUGGAGUUUGUAAGGUUUGAAUCUUGCUAGCUAUUGGGUAGGGAAAAUAUGUGGGGCAUUUUAUGUACAAAAAGAUAAAGAUUCUAUAAACAUCCCAAUGGAUUCGCUAGAUGUAAACCACAGGCACGAGAACAAUCAAUAAAGUGCCUAUAAAUGAGGCAAGAGGCUGAUCCCCUGUGCUUUGCCAAGCCGUCAAAAGUAUGCCUAAACUGAACCUGACACCCCACUCCAACCUCAAACCUAAUAUGCUGCUGACCAAACAGCUUCCAACCAAUCCAAAUACCCCUUCAAAGACCGCAACUAUAAGAGCUCCUCCCUAACUUUGGAUUCCAACGACCCCACACGUCUCCAAAUAUGCAUUGUCUCAACUCCAAAUUGUCACUGGCUUGAUUAAAGAUAGGAAGCUUAUAGAUCCUUCAUUAGCAAUAGGUGCACACACCUUAUCCCAUAUACUAUCAAAUUAUGCUUAAUCUCAUCCCCCAUUCCAUUCCAUAAUAAUGCCGCUGCAACUUGUAAGUCUUACUACUCACAUUAGUAGUAAACAAGGGGAAAAGAAACUAGGAAAGCUCUGAAAAAACUCUUCAAUAAAUAACAAAUUUUAAUGAGAAAAGAUUAUGUAUAUCACAGUUCUGAACUAGUCAAAAUCAUACGUUUGUGAUUGAUGAAAUCUUGAUCAAAUGAACCCAUUUGCGUAUGGUUAUUAUGCAUGAAUUAUGUGCAUUCGCCCUUAUGUCAUGUAUGAGCUCUAGUUCAACUGGCUUGUCCUCCAAUUGUUAUGUUUUACUUAUCAUGUUCACUUGGUUUAUUUCCUUAUAAUUAACAACAUUUAUUCAUGUAAUCGAGAAUUAUAAUUCUAAUGAAUAUGGGAAUUAUUUUUAUGUGCUUUUAUUUUUAUUAUUUUUAAUUUAAUUUAUUGGAAAAAAAAUUGACACUGUAGUACAAGAUGUCGUAAAAAAAAAAAAAAAAAUCUAGAAUUGGAAUCAUAUAAGGUGUGAAAUAGAAAUAAUUUCAUUCUUGGUUGUUGAAAAAGAAAUAAAUUUUUUCCAUGUGUUCCCUUGGAUUUUUAGGGUUUUAGAACAUUAGUUUUAUUACGACUAAAUAAAACUAAACAACUCGAACCAUUAGGUUAGAAGCAAUGUGAUUUGUAAAAUAGAAUUAGCAUUUUUUUCCUUAUAGAGAGAGUUGGAAUGGUAUUUUGUCUAGAAAAGUUAUUUUGCUCUAUUAUUGCAUGUUGCAAUAAUUGUUUGUUCAAGUUUAUAUUAAUUGUUUUCUUUCUUCAAUUAUGCAGUGCAUUAGCAAGGGGCGUUAUGAAAGUAGAUUUUGUGAUGUAUACCGCAAUGACUGUAAACAAUUUAAAGGCUCUUAAUUGCAAUGCCGUGGUGUUCCCAUGAAUUCGAAUAGCAAGCUGAAAUCUGUUAAUUAUGCCAGUAUAAACUAUAAAAAGAUUGUUUGGAGUAAUUAUUAAGUUAGAUUAAUGCUUCAUUAUAAGUUACUUUGCAUGUAAAGAUGUGGUAUUAUAUACUAAUAUAUAUUUGGGCAUAUAAAGAAUAUGUGCCUUUUUGCUUUCCUUUCUUUCCUUUAUUUUUUUUGGGAAAAUUUGUGUGACAAUAAGCUCAUCGAAGGCCAAAAAUCUAUUUGCAAACCAAUGACCAUCUGUUUGGAUUGGAAUUAACUGGAAGUUUCUAUUCUUGAUUUAAAUAUUGUGACAUAUUCCCCCUCACAAAGACCCACCAUGACGUGAACCGGUGCUACAACCUUCAGAGCAUCUCUGUCAUACCCUGUCAUACCUGAAGACGAGGGAUGACAGGGUGUGGCUCAUCCAGUGCCUCCCUGAGUCCAGCAAGGGGCUAAACGAGGAUUUCCUCAUCAUGUCAGGGGAGUGGCACGAUGGCCUUCACUGCCCAACAACGGAGGGAAUACCAGGUGGGGCAGCGGGAGUAGGAGGGGUUUCAAGUUCUCUUGUCUUUUUCCUUCUCUUUUUUUUUUUUUUUUUUACUAAUGUGGUGGUGUUUUCUCCUUGCAGACCCGCACGCUUUUGAGCGCCACUUCCACCUGGUCAACAGGGANAUCUAAUUUAUAUAACUAAGAUUAAGUAUAUAAGAGAGGCAAGACCAUACCAAAGAAUUGAUCCAGCUGUUGACGAGGAUGUGUUGUAGUUUGGGGUACAACCUAUGGACCUGUGUUGAGAAUAGGAUUAUAAGAUGGAUUGAUGCGUUGGUGUACAAGUUAUGUACUUGUGUUGAGAAUAGGAUUAUAAGUUGAUCCAAGUUGUUGAAGUUGUUGAGUGAUUGAAUGACGAACAGAAGCAAGGAAGAGAGAGCAAACACGAAGAAUUACUGAGUUUUCACUUGCAAGACCAUCCAUGUGUCACUCACUCAUUGAUUUUGCUGACUAUCUAUCAGCAACUCAGUCGGAUUGCUCAUAUAGUGGUUUUUUUUUUUUUUUGGUGAAACUAGAGAACGAUAAAAAUACUAUUAAAUAUGGUUUUAAAACCUGGACCGUUUAUUGAACCGUAAAAGGGAGAGGUUCAAGAUUUUUGAGAUCAAACUAAGGUUGAAUUGGGGUCGAAGCGUGAUGACGUCAUAAUUAAUUUAAUAAUUAUUUUUAAUAUAAUAAAUUAAUAUAAAUACAAAAUUUGACUAAAAUAAUCCCUAAAUGAAUACAAAAAUCUAUAUUUCAUAUGUAUUUUUUAUAUCAUAACUUUCAUAAGAUAAAUAAAAAAAAAUUAAAUUCAAAGCAAACAUAAUAAAUAAACAAAUAUAUAAUUAAAUGCAUAACAAUGUCAAGAUUGAUUUGCUGAUUAUAAAAAAAACUUAAUUGAUUACUUAAAUCACUAACCAAACCAAAUAGUAAACCAUUAUUAUCAAUUCUAAAUCUAAUAUAAAAUAUUAUUAAAAUAUUAAAGAGGACAGUUGAUAAAGCUUAAGCUACUGUGGUAGUAGUGCUAUAUCAAUCUCAUAAAAAAGAAAUGAAUAAAUAAAUAUAUCAACACUUAUGUGAUCUGACAUUUGUGGUACACGAUGGGCGAGAAAGUCAAGGCGUGUUUUGCUAAGCUAUGUUCUAAAGCUUUAUCAAACAAAAUAGAGAGGUCUUGGAAAAAUGAGAACACAGAACAAAACAGUGAGAGGAAGGGAGAAAGAGAGAAAGAGUUUCAGAGGCAUUGCUGUGACUACCACUGGUUUGGAGAGAUUAGAUCUUCGACUGGAAGUUGCAACAGACGACAAGGGCGGAAGCUUUGACUCACAUCUGGAGACUUGUGGAGGCAGAUUAUCGGAGAUUUAGUUAGAUCUUAUACUGCUAUUUUCUUUUAUUCUUUGUACUGAUUUAUUUUUCUUGGAGGUUGGUUAUCUUAACAAUGGUGAUAAGGUGGGUGCCGUAAAUACCUUCUUCUUUCUUUCUUUUUCUUUUUUUUAAUUUUAUUUUCAGUUCUGUCCUGAACCGCAAGAACCGUCCACGGUUUGCAAAAUCGGACGGUUCAACUGCGGUUUGCAUGUUUCACUAAUUUUUUUUACAUAGAACGGUUUUUGGAGUUUAAAAAACCGUCUUGAUGAAUCGUUCGCGGUUAACCGGGUCGAAUCGUACAGUCAGGUCUAGAUUUCAAAACCAUGCUAUUAAAUUAUUAACAUUUGCUAUCAAGUUUAUGACUACUGGUUACCGAUUAAAAAAAAUGUGACAACUAGUUGCAAGUUAUAACUUGUCCAUGAAUUUCACUGCCUCCAAGCAUACCCCUUUAAUGCUUAAUUUGCAUAUGUACACUCUAUUUGUUUUGAAGUAAAAUAUUUUACAUGUAAACUAUUUUUUAGUAAAGUAUUUUCAAGUGUUUUAUUCUCAAAAAAAAAAAAUAAAAGUGUAUUUUUAAGUGUGGUAUGACAAGUAAAAAUUUUCAAGCAAAUCACCAAAAUCAGUGACUCAACACCAAAGCCAUUGGUGCUAAAGGUCUGGUGAUUGGACUACUGGAAUCAUCAGUUAAAGCUUUGGCUUUGACGACCAAACUAUCGACAAUCACCAUUGAAGUGGUAUCUCCGAUAAUCGGACCAUCAACACCAAUUGACAAAACGACGUCUUUGGUAAUUAGACUUUUGGCACAGGUUAUGGUAAAGCGUCUUUGGCCACCAGACCAUCAACACCAAUUGACAUCUAAGGCCAUAGAACCCAACACCAAUUGUUGGUGAGACAUCUCUUGCCACUAGACCACUAGCACUAGUUGCUAAAGCAGAGUCUUUAAACAUUAAAUCACUGGCAUCUAUCGUAGAGUGAAGUUAUCGAACUGACGUCAACAGUCGCCAGAGUGGAGUCCCUGGCCAUUGUAAUGUCAACACCGAUUGCCGAAGUGGUGUCUCUGGCCAUCAGAUCGGCGACCUAGUGACUGAAUGGGUAAAGGGAUGCCACUGUGUGUUUUUUGAAAAUGUUUUACCAAAUUUUCAAUGGGUUUUUUUUACAACUUUUUAUAAAAGAUUUUAUAGUCAACGGAAAAUAUUUUACAAGUUUUAUUAUAUUUUACCUGCAAGCAAAAACCUGAAAAUGGGGAAAACAUUUUCUGAAAAAUAUUUUACAUCAAAAUAGACGAAGCGGUACUUCAUAGAACUAGCUCUAAUUUCAUAAUUCAGUUUCCUAUUGGAUUCCUAUCCAUAUUUAAUUUUUCUAUAUAUAUAUAUAUAUUAUAUACAAGGUAAAAAUUCUACUCUAGCAUAAUUUAAGUGUAUAUGUGUGUCAAGUUCCUUCAUGAAAACUUGAAUCCCAACCCUUGUCCCCCAUAUCCCACAUGAACUUUGUACUUAUGGAAUAACCAUUGCGCCAAAGUUGCGCAUUAUUAAUUUUUCUAUAUUUAAUUGGGUAACAAAUUGUUCAUAUUAUUUCUCUUCAGAAAUGUAGUUAGUAUAUUAUAUGUUGGAAAAACUGGUUUUGCAUCUCAUACAAAACUCAUAGCGGAAGCAACACAAGGAUCUACUUUAUUCAUGAGAGAUAACAUAUAACCUAGAAUUCUAGAACAAAGAAGAGAAAGCGUAUCUUCAUGUAGUGAAAUUCAAAAACAAAACUUGAGAUUACCUCCAAUCUUCAUCCCAAUUUCACAUGGUGCUCAAAAUGAGUGGCCUUUCAAUUAGUUCUUAUAUACGUUAAUUUUCCUUUGGAAAAGUGUAUUCCAAAAUCCUGUAAAGAAAAACUGUUUUCUCUUCUUUUAAUCAUACGUACAUAUUAACUACCCUUAGCAGUUCCUUUAUUUAAUAACUCUUAUUAAAUAAAAAUUGAUUAUUUAAUUUGAUUAGUCUUUUGAGCCAGUUUAAUUGGACUUAAGUUUGUGGCUUAAGAUGAGACCAAAUGGACUAACAAGGCUCUAGCUUUAAUGGGCUUCAGACUUAUCUGUCAACUCUGGACAAGUCCAAAGUCACCACAAAUUAUAUAACAAAUACCACUAUGGAAAUAUAAUUGCACUCUAGGGCCUUAUCAAUAAAUUAUAUCUCAAGAUUUUAAUAUAAUAUCAUUUGACCCCUCCAUGAAAUAUCCAUAGUGAACAAAGUCAUAAUAAACUAUCACUUUUUAAACAACUAUUUUAUUUCUUGAGUCUCUGGUUUAAUUUUUUAGUUAUUCAUAUUUAUGAAAUCUAAUUUCAAUAAAUAUAAACUUUAGUAACUCUUUACUAAAGUAGCCAGCCUUGAAUAACUAGUUCCCAUUAAAUUUAUCUCAGUGGAAUAUUUCGUGUCUCUAUGAAAGAUAUUAUGGAUUACAUUUUAAGAAUAUGUGUUCCCUCAACACUACAUGUGGUUGCCUAACAUACUGAGGUUUUGACAGUUAAGUUAGAUCUCACCCCUGAUAUAUCAAAGUAACCUACAUUUCAUGAUCGGGUUCACUAUCCUCUCAAGAGUAUAUGAAAUUAGAAGUCAUGAGAUUAAUUAUUCAGGUGACAGUUGUUAACUGAAUAAUUAAUCUCACAGCAAUCUAGUUCAAUAUGUCUUACACACUUAAGACACAUCAACUAGAAGUCUCCACUUCCAUGAUUAAGACAAACCAUCUUAGUUGAUGUGUUAUAGUCAGUGACAACUUAAUGCAUUUGAGGGGCUAAGGCAAAAAUUGAUUAUCUUGUUUUAGAUAGAAAAUUAUUACUAAUUAACAUAAACUACGUAGAAUUUUUUUUCUUUUUUAAGAAAUUUUAUAGAUAGAAAAAAUUUGACAAAUUUUUUCAUAAUUAUUGAUGUGGCAAAUUGAUAGUGGUAUGUAAAAGAGUGGCGUUAAUGGUAGACUUAAAUGAGAACUAGUAAAAGUUUGCUAACUCAACUCUUAUCAUUAUUCUUAUAUUUUUUAGAAGUGCAACAUUCACAAUAUUUUUUACAACAAAUCUUAGGUUUUAAGUUGCUUUUUGUUUUCUAUUUAAAAAUAUCACUAUAAUUAUUUUUUUGUCAUCAAUAACGGUUGUAACAACCCACUACUUAGCAUUAGUUGUAAAAGUGUUGCGAAAAAUAUUAUGAACGUUGCAUUUUUCUCUCUUUUUUAUUUGUUUUUCAUCUGGUAAAAAAAUAUUAUUUUAUUUAUUAAUUAUAAAUAACCCUAUUGGUUAAAAUUUGGAGACCUUUUUUUUACUUAAGACCUUAGGCGAUCGCAUCUCUUGCUCACCUAUUUAGUCGGGCCUGGAUGGAGAGGGAAUGAGUAGAUGUGGCUAGGCUGAGCACGAAGGAUGAGAGAAACGUCUGAUUUAGAGAGAGCAAACGGCACUAAAGCAAAAUUCUAAAACCGUUAGUCAUUGAAUUUGAGUUAACUGGUCAUGUGCAUUGCACAUGACCUAGGACACUUGUCAUUCUCACUAAUUGACACAUUGCCUUGUACUAUUGUCUGUAGGAAUUACUUGUCUCCCAAAGCACAAACCCUCCAAUUUCCCUCAAAAAAUAAGAAAUAUUUUGAUAGAAACUCACUAGCGACUCUUGGAAGAUGAAGAGUGAGAACCCAAACCCCAGCUCACCCCUCACACGCACAAGACACCCAAACCCCCAACCCACACUUACGACACAAUCAGAACUCAUCCUCACCCAAACCCCAACUCACACAUACGGAGAUCUGAAGAUGAAGCCAGGUCUACAAAUCCUUGCCUCCACCUAUCUGCUCUGGCAAAAACCUUCUUCUGAGGUAUUAAGGCAAAGGAAGUCCGCCAAAAAAUUUGCUUAGGAGCUUGCUCAGUACAAAGCUUCAUGGAAGUACAAGAUGAGGAGGAUCUAGAUUGGCCCUGAUCAAAUGGGUACAAAACUUCAUUAUUCCUUUUAGCAUUUUUUGUUGUUGUGUUUGUUAGUUUCCUUUUCAAAUGUGUUUUUUUGUUGUUGUUUGUUUUUUGUUGUUUUUGUGUAUGUAGAGGCUGAAAUAGCCUCAGAAAAGUAUGUAUUAUCCUCUCGUGGUAUGACUGGCAGUCAAGCACUGCGUUUAAUAACACAGUUUGCGAUAUUCCAAGGUCUCAUCGUUGUUGCACUCAAAACUUGUGGUAUUGGAUACACUCUGGACUACAAUGAUCUUAUAGCAGCCACAAUAGAUGUGAUCAAGGCGGUCACAUGGGUUGACAGCUGUGAGGCCUAUGAUAAGAUAGAUGAUAUCACAGCAGAAGUGAAAGAUUUCACCGAAGAUUUCAAGACGUACUUAUCUGGUUUGAGAAAUCCUCCUCCAAAAUAAGAGUAAUGAUGCUGUGGUAAGACCCUGCUUUGAGAUUUAAACUUUUAUCUUUACACUUAUCAGUGAUCAUAAUAGGGAUGUAGUAGAAUUAUAAAUAACUUACUAUUUAUACCAUUUCUUCCUAUUAAGAGGAUUUUCACUUUGCCCAAAUUGGAGGAUUUUCACUUUGCAUUCUACUUACUAUUUCACUUUGCAUUGUACGCUACUCUGAGAAAUGAGAAGCAUUGAUUUGCAAAGCCAAGCUUUGAGGUUCAUGCAUUAUACUUUUUUAUAUAUGAUAAUUCAAUGUUCAUUCUCUUGCUCAUGGUAGGUUUGCAACUAUGGAUUUAUAUCUAGGAAUUAGAUUACAGGGUUGGCUACAUACGUUGUUGGAUCUAAUUAAUCUAUCAUUCGAAACAUAAUGACAAAUUGUCCAUGCCGGUUUUUUUUUUUUUUUUAAAUAUUUAUAAUGGUUUAGCUUUUCAAACUUGUUGGUCUACAGUCUAGUUGCAAUGUCCUAUGAACCGCAAACUUUUGAUUGUUGCUAAGGUGGAAUAUAAUUGCAAUCACUAUUGUUCAUCAUCUAUACUAGCACCUAUUUAGCAUAUUAUUCAAGAAGCCAAUCAUUGCAUGGUAUAACUCUACCUAUUGCCUAUCUUAUGUAGAUAUGCUUCCUUUCCUUCCAUAUACAAGCUUGAACUAUUGAACUAUACAUUUUGGGCAAAGCUUAGUUCACUUUUGCCUAACAAGAAAAAGUAUAUUCAAGUCUUAGUUCUGAAUAUGUCCCCCAAAAAAAAAAAAAAAUCCAAACUUAAUGUUUCUACAGUUCUUCAAGGUUUCCCAAAAAUGUUUGAAGAGGAUCUCCUGGCAUCUUAGAGAUAGGUUUGAAAAUUUUGGAACUGGAACAAAAUGACCUAUACUGUUGUGAUAUUAGUUUUCUUAUGGUUUAUGUGGAACACAUCCUAGGACUAAAACUGAAUAAUAAUGUUGUGUUUGGCAUCUCUAUUGAGGAUUCAUUUCAUAGCUUCUAUGCAUAAAAUGCAUUCUGCAAAAAACUAUGGGUUGUUUGGUUAGCAGUUUCAGGAUCCAUGAAAUGUAUUUUCUAUUUCUCGUUUUCUAAAGCAAAAAUGAGAAUAUCCAAAUCUAAGGAUUUUCGCUUUGCAUUCUACUUACAAUUUGUACUAAAGUGGUUGGGAACCACUUUUCGGGGUUCACACCCAACACCUUGCUAACCCUUUAGUUUUUAUUCUUUCUUCUCUCUUUUUCUUCUCUGCGUCUUCUUUGGUCCUAUUUUCUUGCUCUUCCGAAUCUUCAAGUGGGUUGUAAUUUGCCAUUUUCUUCAACAAUAUCUGCUUUUUGCAAGCUAUGGGAACUUUUCGAGUGGGGUGUGUCCUACAAUUAUCUAUUAAAAUUAAGAUACCGUUACAAUAAUUUGAACCAAAUUAUUUUUGUCAAUUCUUUGCAAUCUAUUGAAAUAAAAUUCGUGAAAUAAUAGCCUAUUGCCACAAGAUAUUCAAAGUAGUAAAUUGUUUAUUGCAACAAUAAAUAUAUUAUUACAUCAAAAAUUUUAUUAAAAUAUUUAAGGUUUAUUGCAACAAAUUUUUUUUUUUUUAACACGAACCUAUUACCUCAAAUUUUAUUGCAACGCUUCUUAUAAACUAUUGCAAUGACUCUGAUCUUAUUGCAACGAUUUUUUUCAUUGUAAUAAACAUUUUUUGUUGUAGUGCUUGAUUGUUAUUUUAUUGCAAUUUAUAAAUUUUUAAUGAUUUCAUAGGGUUAUUUACGUAUUUAAUAUAUGCAGCCAGGUUGUUUUAUUAAUUCUAUAGGCCAAUUUGGUCUAUAAACAUGUUUUCUAUAGCCGUUUUUAGACGUGGCCUAAAAUUUGUCACUAUAGGUCCGACAAGUCUAUAGCCACCCUUUUUAAAACGCGGCUAUAGGCUAUAGACCUGUAACUGCAUUUGUUCAAACACAGCUAUAACGUGCUAAUUAGCCAUAUUUAUUAAACGUGGCUAUAGGACAUAUUUUAGUCGCGAUUUUAAAACGCGACUAUGGGUGUACAUUAGACGCAUUUUUAAAAUGCAACUAUAGAUCCUCAUCUGACACCCGCAUUUUAAAAACUCAGCUAUAGGGUUUAUGUUUUGUUUUUUUUUUUUUAACUCGGCUAUAGGGUUUAUGUUUUGUUUUGUUUUGUUCUUUUUAAAUUGUCUACAACCACGUUUUAAGAAAAUAAAAAAGAAAAAAAGAAAAAAAGAAAAAAAAAGAAGCCUAUUGCGGUGGCUCUAACCACUGCUAUAGGUAGUCUAUUUAAAAAAAAAAAAAUUCAAAUGAACCUAUAGUCGCACUUCUAAACAAAUAUAAACACGGCUAUAGACUUAACUUAUAGCCGCUGUUUAAAAACACGACCAUAGGUAAGUUAUCGAUGUGUUUUAAAAACGCGACAAUAGGUCAUUUAAAAAAAAGAAAAAGAAAAAUUAUUCGGCUGGUCCUAUUGCCACGUUUUCUAAAUGCGGUAAUAGGGCCUAUCCAAAAAACGCGGCUGAAAACACCUAUAAACGUCACGUUUUCUAAACGUGGCAAUAGGGUCUAUUCAAAAAAUGCGGCUAAACACAUUUAAACAUGGCUAUAGGACAUAUUUUAAUCGCAAUUUUAAAACGCGUCUAUAGGGUGUACAUUAGCCGCAUUUUUAAAACAUGGCUAUAGAUCCUCAGCCUACGGUCGCAUUUUAAAAACUUUGCUAUAGGGUUUUUUUUUUUUUUUUUUUUUUUAACAAUUGUCUAUAGCCACGUUUUAAGGAGAAAAAAAACAAGCCUAUUGUGGCGGCUUGAAUUGCUACUAUAGGUAAUUUGUUUAAAAGAAAAAGAAAUCAAAUGAACCUAUAACCGCNGAGAAAGAAGUAUACCUAUACUUCUUUACUUUGUAGAAAUAUUAUUUUAUCAUACAUAUACUUCACAUGCUAAUGUAUAUAAAAGUACGUAUACUAUAUACAUUUGCAUGUGAAGUAUAGGUAAAAAUUGACAUGUCAAAUAUUCUUUCGCUGAAGUAUACCAAUACUUUUUUUUUUUUGGAGAAAGAAGUAUACCUAUACUUCUUUACUUUAUAGAAAUAUUAUUUUAUCAUACAUAUACUUCACAUGCUAAUGUAUAUAAAAGUACGUAUACUAUAUGCAUUUGUAUGUGAAGUAUAGGUAAAAAUUGACAUGUCAAAUAUUCUUUCGCUGAAGUAUACCUAUACUUUUUCUUUUUUUUUUUGGGGAGAAAGAAGUAUACCUAUAAUUUUUUUUUUUUUUUUUUGAGAAAGAAGUAUACCUAUGCUUAGUGUAUAUAAACAUCACAUGAAUCAAAUGUUAAUUGUUGAAGUACAUUUAUGCUAAGUACACCUAUACUUAGUGAACCUAUACUUAGUGUAUUAUUGUUUGUAGGAAAUGCCUGUCUCCCAAGGCCCUCCAAUUUCCCUUCAAAAAUAAGAAAUAUUUAGACAGAAACACACCAGAAGCGACUCUUGGAAGACGAAGAGUGAGAACCCAAACCCCAACUCACCCUUCACAUGCGUAGAACACCCAAACCCCUAAUCCACACUUACGACACAAUUGGAACUCAUUCUCACCCAAACCCCAACUCACACGUAUGGAGAUCUGAAGAUGAAGCUAGCUCUGCAAAUCCUUACCUCCACCUAUCUGCUCCGGCAGAAACCUUCUUCUAAGGUACUGAGGCGGAGAAAGUCCGACAAAAAAAGCUGCUAAGGAGCUUGCUCAAUACAAAGCUUCGUGGAGUUACAAGAUGAGGAAGAUCUGGAUUGGCCCUGAUUAAACAUGUACAAAACUUCACUAUUUCUUUUAGCAUUUUUUGUUGUUGUGUUUGUUAGUUUCCUUUUCUAAUGUGUUUUUGUUGUUGUUGUGUAUGUAGAGGCUGAAAUAGCCUCAGGAAAGUAUGUAUUAUCCACUGGUGGUAUGACUCACAGUCGGGCACUGCGUUUGAUAACACAAUUUGUGGUGUUACAAGGUUUCAUCGAUGUUGCACUCAAAACUUAUGUUAUUGGAUACACUUUGGACUACAAUGAUCCUGCAGGAGCCGCAAUAGACGUGAUCAAGACACAGGAGUUGACAGUUGCAAGGCCUAUGAUUAGAUAG
rnacentral:sRNA from 1 species